ACAUCUAUAUAAUGAUCAAUGUAAGCAAGUUGGAUCGAUGGUGGCUAAUCUGAGUAUAAGGAGCGUGCUGCCUAUGAUGGUAUCAAUCAAAUCUUUAGAAAGGAGACGCCUCUUGGUUGAUAUAACUACCAUGUUGCAAUUUGGAAUUUUCCUCAUUACGUUCAUCGGUCUUAU
rnacentral:sRNA from 1 species